UGAUGAUGCUGACCCGCUGACCCUGCUUUCUGUUCAACAGGUGUGGCCUGUGAAAAAAUAUUCAUAGAAACAACCUGAAUUUUGCAGAGAACCAAAAGAGCGACUCUCAAAACUGCUUAAGAGGCUCAGAGACCUUCACUGUGAGCUACACAUCAUAGACUAAACAUGAAGUAUAUACUACUAUGGAUGUCUAGUCACAUCAAAUGUCAACGUCCUGGGAAUGGUUCAAGAAUGAUUAUGAUACUACCAACUCCUACAAUAAGACUCAAGUUGAUGUUGGAAAGGAUGCAAACUCUGAUUGUGUGUAGCCCUCUGCAACAAGGCUCCACCAGCAGCCUUCCCAGGAGCAGACACUGUUCUAAAUGACGAGAAUCAAAG